GCAAAUGCUGCUUGUUCCCACCCCAGUGGCUGAAGGAAUCCGUCCAAGACGUGCCCGUCGGCCAUAGAUCUGAACGCUUGCCACUGCCCAUCAGGCUCCAAGUCAGCCACCGUGGUGUGAAGAUGCGGGAAUAAGGAGGGCAUUGUGCUGCCUGCAGAGACACGUUCCGAAAAGAAUUCAGAAUUCGGGAAAGCACCUCCUCCCACUGGACACACCUCUCCUAGCCAGGUGA
rnacentral:lncRNA from 1 species